UACGUAGGGGGCUAGCGUUGUCCGGAUUUAUUGGGCGUAAAGAGCGUGUAGGCGGCCAUGUAGGUCCGGUGUGAAAACUCGAGGCUUAACCUCGAGAUGUCAUCGGAAACCAUUUGGCUAGAGUCCGGAAGAGGAGAGUGGAAUUCCUGGUGUAGCGGUGAAAUGCGCAGAUAUCGGGAGGAACACCAGUGGCGAAGGCGGCUUCCUGGCCUGUUCUUGACGGCUGAGCGCGAAAGCUAGGGGAGCAAACGGG
rnacentral:rRNA from 1 species